UGGGGAAUAUUGGACAAUGGGGGCAGCCCUGAUCCAGCCAUGCCGCGUGGGUGAAGAAGGCCUUAGGGUUGUAAAGCACUUUCAGUAGAGAAGAAAAGCCUAGGGUUAAUACCCCUGAGUCUUGACGUAACCUACAGAAGAAGCACCGGCUAACUCCGUGCCAGCAGCCGCGGUAAUACGGAGGGUGCGAGCGUUAAUCGGAAUUACUGGGCGUAAAGCGCGCGUAGGCGGUUUGGUCAGUCGGAUGUGAAAGCCCCGGGCUUAACCUGGGAAUUGCACUCGAUACUGCCAGGCUAGAGUAUGGGAGAGGGAAGCGGAAUUUCCGGUGUAGCGGUGAAAUGCGUAGAUAUCGGAAGGAACACCAGUGGCGAAGGCGGCUUCCUGGCCCAAUACUGACGCUGAGGUGCGAAAGCGUGGGGAGCGAACAGGAUUAGAUACCCCGGUAGUCC
rnacentral:rRNA from 1 species